rnacentral:rRNA from 1 species
GAAACACUGGUUCCCAUAUGAUCGCCAUAGUUAAGCAACAUAGAGCCUGGUCAAUACCUAGGUGGUUGACUGCUUGGGAAUACCAGGUGCUGUAA